rnacentral:tRNA from 1 species
ACACUGAUGGUUCAGCGAUAGAAUUCUUGCCUUCCACGCAAGAGACCCAGGUUCUAUUCCCAGUCAAUGCA